GCAUAGUGGGGUGGUUAACCCGGGAACUGGGUAUAAUACCCGAUAGAUCUGGACGGCUGGAAUGCGUCUAGAUUCAAAGUUCCGACGCCCAAGGAUGGGUCUGCGGCCUAUCAGGUUGUAGUGGGUGUAAUGUACCUACUAGCCUAAUACGGGUACGGGUUGUGAGAGCAAGAGCCCGGAGAUGGAUUCUGAGACACGAAUCCAGGCCCUACGGGGUGCAGCAGGCGCGAAACCUUUACAAUGCGGGCAACCGCGAUAAGGGGACCUCGAGUGCCGACAUCUAAUGUCGGCUGUCGUGAUGCCUAAAAAGCAUUAUAUAGCAAGGGCCGGGCAAGACCGGUGCCAGCCGCCGCGGUAACACCGGCGGCUCGAGUGGUGACCGCUAUUAUUGGGUUUAAAGGGUCUGUAGCCGGCCGGAUUAGUCUCUUGGGAAAUCUGGCCGCUUAACGGUCAGGCUUUCAGGAGAUACUGUCUGGCUCGAGGCCGGGAGAGGUGAGAGGUACUUCAGGGGUAGGGGUGAAAUCUUGUAAUCCUUGAAGGACCACCAGUGGCGAAGGCGUCUCACCAAAACGGACCUGACGGCAAGGGACGAAAGCUAGGGGCACGAACCGGAUUAGAUACCCGGGUAGUCCUAGCCGUAAACGAUACUCGCUAGGUGUCGGCCGCGGUGCGACCGUGGUCGGUGCCGUAUGGAAACCGUGAAGCGAGCCACCUGGGAAGUACGGCCGCAAGGCUGAAACUUAAAGGAAUUGGCGGGGGAGCAC
rnacentral:rRNA from 1 species